GUUGGGUAGCCAUUUUCACAAGCAGGGAAGGAGCUCUCAGGGUGAAAGCUGGUGCUUAAGUGAUGCUACCUCUUAAAAGUAUGGAUCUUCUUGACCAGGUCCACAAUGUUCAGUUCCGUAUUCGAAUAAUUUCUGGCCGCCAUCUAUUUGGUAACAACUUAAAACCAGUGGUGAAAGUCAUUGUGGGACACAAAGUGUACACCACGCACAUACGCAGAGGGAACAACCCAG